rnacentral:rRNA from 1 species
UACGUAGGGUGCAAGCGUUAUCCGGAAUUAUUGGGCGUAAAGAGCUCGUAGGCGGUUUGUCGCGUCUGCUGUGAAAACUGGAGGCUCAACCUCCAGCCUGCAGUGGGUACGGGCAGACUAGAGUGCGGGUAGGGGAGAUUGGAAUUCCUGGUGUAGCGGUGGAAUGCGCAGAUAGUCAGGAGGAGCACCGAUGGCGAAGGCAGAUCUCUGGGCCGUAACUGACGCUGAGGCGCGAAAGCCAGGGGAGCAAACGGG